GGGAUGGGAGGACCCAAUAGGAGCCAAUAGAAGCCAAUAGGGGAUGGGAGGAUCCAAUAGGAGCCAAUACAAGCCAAUAGGGGAUGGGAGGAGCCAAUAGGAGCCCAAUAGAACCCAGUAGAGGUCCAAUAGGAACCAAUAGGGGCCCAAUAGGAACCAAUAGGGGCCCAAUAGGAGCCAGUAGGGACCCAAUAGAGGCCAAUAGGGAUGGGAGGAGCCAAUAGGAGCCCAAUAGAACCCAGUAGGGGCCCAAUAGGAGCCAAUAGGGGCCCAAUAGAGGCCAAUAGGGGAUGGGAGCACCCCAAUAGAAGCCAAUAGGGGAUGGGAGGACACAAUAGAAGCCAAUAAGGGCCCAAUAGAGGCUAUAGGGUUGGGAGGACCCAAUAGACGUCAAGUUGAUUAUGUUGAGAACCAAUAGGAGCCAUAGGGAUGGGAGGACCCCAAUAGGGAUGGGAGGACCCCAAUAGAAGCCAAUAGGGGAUGGGAGGACCCUAUAGACGUCGAGUUGAUCACGUUGGGGCCCAAUAGGAGUCAAUAGAAGCCAAUAGGAACCCCAUAGAGGCUAUAGGGUUGGGAGGACCCAAAAGGAGCCCCAUAGAACCCAGUAGGGACCCAAUAGGAACCAAUAGGGGCCCAAUAGAAGCCAUAGGGGAUGGGAGGACCCCAAUAGGGAUGGGAGGACCCCAAUAGAAGCCANACCAUCGAGGUCCUCCAAGGCAUCUCUAUGGUCCUCCAAGGCAUCACUUGGGUGCUCCAACAACUCUAUGAUCAUCGAGGUCCUCCAAGGUGCCACUUGGGUCCUCCAACAACUCUAUGAUCAUCGAGGUCCUCCAAGGUGCCAUCGGGGUCCUCCAACAACUCUAUGGUCACCAUCGCGGUCCUCCAAGGCCUCACUUGGGUCCUCCAACAACUCUAUGGUUACCAUCGAGGUCCUCCAAGGCAUCUCUAUGGUCCUCCAAGGCCUCACUUGGGUCCUCCAACAACUCUAUGAUCAUCGAGGUCCUCCAAGGCAUCUCUAUGGUCCUCCAAGGUGUCGCUGGGGUCCUCCAACAACUCUAUGAUCACCAUCGAGGUCCUCCAAGGCAUCUCCAUGGUCCUCCAAGGCCUCACUUGUGUCCUCCAACAACUCUAUGAUCAUUGAGGUCCUCCAAGGUGUAGCUGGGGUCCUCCAACAACUCUAUGAUCAGCAUCGAGGUCCUCCAAGGCCUCACUUGGGUCCUCCAACAACUCUAUGAUCACCAUCGAGGUCCUCCAAGGCAUCUCUAUGGUCCUCCAAGGUGUCGCUGGGGUCCUCCAACAACUCUGUGAUCAUCGAGGUCCUCCAAGGUGUCGCUGGGGUCCUCCAACAACUGUAUGGUCACCAUCGCUGUCCUCCAAGGCCUCACUUGGGUCCUCCAACAACUCUAUGGUCACCAUCAAGGUCCUCCAAGGUGCCAUCGGGGUCCUCCAUCAACUCUAUGAUCACCAUCAAUGUCCUCCAAGGCAUCUCUAUGGUCCUCCAAGGCAUCUCUAUGGUCCUCCAAGAACUCUAUGAUCCUUACGGUCCUCCAAGGCUUCACUUGGGUCCUCCAACAACUCUAUGAUCAAUGGGGAGGACCAUUGGGGAGGGAGAUGGGGACAUAGGGACCAAUGGGGUGGGGGACGGGAACAUACAGACCAAUGGGGUUGGAGAUGGGGAUAUAGGGACCAAUGGGGUGGGGAGAUGGUGUGGGGAUCCCCAAGCAGCCAAUCAGGAGGCCACGUAUGUCUCUGGGAUGGGGAAUAGGGACCAAUGGGGGGCGAGCUGAUCACGGAGGGGCCCAAUAGGAGCCAAUAGGGGCCCAAUAGGAACCAAUAGGGACCCAAUAGGGUUGGGAGGACCCAAUAGGAACCAAUAGGGGCCCAAUAGAACCCAGUAGGGGCCCAAUAGAAGCCAAGAGGGGAUGGGAGGAGCCAAUAGGAGCCCAAUAGAAGUCAGUAGGGACACAAUAGGAACCAAUAGGGGCCCAAUAGAGGCCAAUAGGGUUGGGAGGACCCAAUAGGAGCCAAUAGAAGCUAAUAGGGGAUGGGAGGACCCAAUAGGAGCCAAUAGAAGCCAAUAGGGGAUGGGAGGAUCCAAUAGGAGCCAAUACAAGCCAAUAGGGGAUGGGAGGAG
ensembl:lncRNA